GGCUUUUUCAAUCCAUGCAGAGAUGUCGUCAGACACCAACCCAUUAGGACGGGUCAGACUCCCAAGAUAAGUGAAGCU
rnacentral:pre_miRNA from 1 species